UACGUAGGGUGCAAGCGUUGUCCGGAAUUAUUGGGCGUAAAGAGCUCGUAGGCGGUUUGUUGCGUCGGCUGUGAAAUCCCGAGGCUCAACCUCGGGUCUGCAGUCGAUACGAGCAAACUAGAGUGUUGCAGGGGAGACUGGAAUUCCUGGUGUAGCGGUGAAAUGCGCAGAUAUCAGGAGGAACACCGGUGGCGAAGGCGGCUCUCUGGGACGGUACUGGACGCUGAGACGCGAAAGCGUGGGGAGCGAACAGG
rnacentral:rRNA from 1 species